AACGAACGCUGGCGGCAUGCCUAACACAUGCAAGUCGAACGAGACCUUCGGGUCUAGUGGCGCACGGGUGCGUAACGCGUGGGAAUCUGCCCUUGGGCUCGGAAUAACAGUUAGAAAUGACUGCUAAUACCGGAUGAUGUCUUCGGACCAAAGAUUUAUCGCCCAAGGAUGAGCCCGCGUAGGAUUAGCUAGUUGGUAGGGUAAAGGCCUACCAAGGCGACGAUCCUUAGCUGGUCUGAGAGGAUGAUCAGCCACACUGGGACUGAGACACGGCCCAGACUCCUACGGGAGGCAGCAGUGGGGAAUAUUGGACAAUGGGCGAAAGCCUGAUCCAGCAAUGCCGCGUGAGUGAUGAAGGCCCUAGGGUUGUAAAGCUCUUUUACCCGGGAUGAUAAUGACAGUACCGGGAGAAUAAGCCCCGGCUAACUCCGUGCCAGCCGCCGCAGUAAGAC
rnacentral:rRNA from 1 species